GGUUAAGCGACUAAGCGUACACGGUGGAUGCCCUGGCAGUCAGAGGCGAUGAAGGACGUGCUAAUCUGCGAUAAGCGUCGGUAAGGUGAUAUGAACCGUUAUAACCGGCGAUUUCC
rnacentral:rRNA from 1 species